rnacentral:tRNA from 1 species
GCAAUGGGGGUUCAAUGGUAGAAUCCUGGCCUUCCAUGCAGGAGACCUGGGUCCCAUUCCUUGCCAGUGCG